AGAGUUUGAUCCUGGCUCAGGAUGAACGCUAGCGGCAGGCUUAACACAUGCAAGUCGAGGGGCAGCAUAAUGGAUAGCAAUAUCUAUGGUGGCGACCGGCGCACGGGUGCGUAACGCGUAUGCAACCUACCUUUAACAGGGGCAUAACACUGAGAAAUUGGUACUAAUUCCCCAUAACAUUCGAGAAGGCAUCUUCUUGGGUUAAAAACUCCGGUGGUUAAAGAUGGGCAUGCGUUGUAUUAGCUAGUUGGUGAGGUAACGGCUCACCAAGGCAACGAUACAUAGGGGGACUGAGAGGUUAACCCCCCACAUUGGUACUGAGACACGGACCAAACUCCUACGGGAGGCAGCAGUGAGGAAUAUUGGUCAAUGGACGCAAGUCUGAACCAGCCAUGCCGCGUGCAGGAUGACGGCUCUAUGAGUUGUAAACUGCUUUUGUACGAGGGUAAACGCAGAUACGUGUAUCUGUCUGAAAGUAUCGUACGAAUAAGGAUCGGCUAACUCCGUGCCAGCAGCCGCGGUAAUACGGAGGAUCCGAGCGUUAUCCGGAUUUAUUGGGUUUAAAGGGUGCGUAGGCGGUUUGAUAAGUUAGAGGUGAAAUUUCGGGGCUCAACCCUGAACGUGCCUCUAAUACUGUUGAGCUAGAGAGUAGUUGCGGUAGGCGGAAUGUAUGGUGUAGCGGUGAAAUGCUUAGAGAUCAUACAGAACACCGAUUGCGAAGGCAGCUUACCAAACUAUAUCUGACGUUGAGGCACGAAAGCGUGGGGAGCAAACAGGAUUAGAUACCCUGGUAGUCCACGCAGUAAACGAUGAUAACUCGUUGUCGGCGAUACACAGUCGGUGACUAAGCGAAAGCGAUAAGUUAUCCACCUGGGGAGUACGUUCGCAAGAAUGAAACUCAAAGGAAUUGACGGGGGCCCGCACAAGCGGAGGAACAUGUG
rnacentral:rRNA from 1 species